GGGGUAAAAUUAAUAAAAUAUAAAUAAUAAAAAAAUUUUUAAUAUUGGGGGGUAUUAAAGUAUUUUUUUAAAAAAAAAUAAUUAAUUUUAUAGUAAAUUAGUAUUGAAAAAGAAAUUUGAAAUAUAUGAAAAUAAAUUAUUUAAAAAGUAAUUUUUAUUUAAUGUAUCUUGUGUAUCAGAGUUUAUUAAAAAAUAUAUUUUUUAAUAAAUAAUCUCGAAUUUAAAAGAGUUAAUUAAUUAUAAAAGUUAAUGUAGAAAAAUUAUUUUAAAUAAUUAAUUUGAAAUGAAAUGUUAAUCGUUUUUAAAUAUAUCUAGUUAUUUUAGAAAAAAAUUUAAUUUUAAAUUUAAAAAAUUUUAUUUAUAAUUAUAAUUAUAAAUAAAAUUUUAAAAUUAAAUAUAUUAAGGGAUAAUCUUUAAUAUAAAAAUUUAUAAUAAAUUAAAGUUAAAAUAAAAAUUUUAAAAUUUAUAUUGUUUAAAAAUUAUAAUUUAUUAUAAAAAAUUUUAUUUAUAAUAAAAUUUAAUUAAAAAUUUAAUUUUUUAUAAAAUGAUAAUAAAAAUAAAAAAAAAAUUAAAAAUAAUGAUAAAAUUAGUAUAUUAUUAUUAAAAAUAUAAUUUAAUUGAUUAAAAUUAAAUUAAAGGAAUUCGGCAAAAUUUUAUAUUCACUUGUUUAUCAAAAACAUGUCUUUUAGUUAAUAAUUUAAAGUCUAAUCUGCCCACUGAUAAUAUAUUAAAGGGCUGCAGUAUAUUGACUGUACAAAGGUAGCAUAAUCAAUAGUCUUUUAAUUGAAGACUUGUAUGAAAGAUUUGAUGAAAUAUAAACUGUCUCUAAUUUAUUAAUAAAAUUUAAUUUUUUAGUUAAAAAGCUAAAAUAAAUUUAAAAGACGAGAAGACCCUAUAGAGUUUUAUAUUAAAUAAAUUUAAUAUUAUUUAUAUAAAUAAAAAUUAAGAAUAAAUUUAAUAUUUUAUUGGGGUGAUUGAAAAAUUAAUAUAACUUUUUUUUAAAAAAAUACAUAAAUAAUUGAAUAAUUGAUCCAUAUUUUAUGAUUAAAAGAAAAAAUUACCUUAGGGAUAACAGCGUAAUAUUUUUUUUUAGUACAAAUAAAAAAAAAAGUUUGCGACCUCGAUGUUGGAUUAAGAUAAAAUUUAAAUGCAAAAGUUUAAAAUUUUGAUCUGUUCGAUCAUUAAAAUCUUACAUGAUCUGAGCUCAAACCGGUGUAAGCCAGGUUGGUUUCUAUCUUUAGAAAAAAAAAAUGUUUUAGUACGAAAGGAUCAAAUAUUUUUAAUAAUUAAAAUUUAAUGAAUAUUAAUAAUUAUUAAUUAUA
rnacentral:rRNA from 1 species